rnacentral:tRNA from 1 species
AACGAGAUAGUUUAUUUUAAGAAUUUUAGGUUUGCGUCCUGAGGGUGGAGUUAUUCUUUUCGUUA